rnacentral:rRNA from 1 species
AAUGAACGCUGGCGACAUGCCUAACACAUGCAAGUCGAACGAAGGCUUCGGCCUUAGUGGCGCACGGGUGCGUAACGCGUGGGAAUCUGCCCUUGGGUUCGGAAUAACAGUUAGAAAUGACUGCUAAUACCGGAUGAUGUCGUAAGACCAAAGAUUUAUCGCCCAAGGAUGAGCCCGCGUAGGAUUAGCUAGUUGGUGGGGUAAAGGCCUACCAAGGCGACGAUCCUUAGCUGGUCUGAGAGGAUGAUCAGCCACACUGGGACUGAGACACGGCCCAGACUCCUACGGGAGGCAGCAGUGGGGAAUAUUGGACAAUGGGCGAAAGCCUGAUCCAGCAAUGCCGCGUGAGUGAUGAAGGCCUUAGGGUUGUAAAGCUCUUUUACCCGGGAUGAUAAUGACAGUACCGGGAGAAUAAGCUCCGGCUAACUUCGUG